GGAUUGUGGCUCAGCGGUAGAGCACUCACCUAGCAUGUGCGAGGCGCUGGGAUCAAACCUCAGCGCCA
rnacentral:tRNA from 1 species